rnacentral:misc_RNA from 1 species
GGACUACUGGGGUAUCUAAUCCUGUUUGCUCCCCACGCUUUCGUGCAUGAGCGUCAGUGUUAGCCCAGGGGGCUGCCUUCGCCAUCGGUGUUCCUCCAGAUCUCUACGCAUUUCACUGCUACACCUGGAAUUCCACCCCCCUCUGCCACACUCCAGCCUAUCAGUUACAAGCGCAGUUCCCAGGUUAAGCCCGGGGAUUUCACACCUGUCUUAAUAGACCGCCUGCGCACGCUUUACGCCCAGUAAUUCCGAUUAACGCCUGCACCCUACGUAUUACCGCGGCGGCUGGCACCC